AAACAGAUUCAAUAAUUAAUCUACAACAAAGUAGGUGAUUACUAGUUGUUAAUUAAUUCUAGAAUCAAGACAUGAAACUAAAGAAACAAUAAGAUGAAACUAAGAAUCUAAAAUUUUGAGCUCGGAAAUAUUGCGUGAACAGUAGCAGUGAUGACAUAGCAGCCACGUAUUAGUUUGAUUUUAUCAAGUGGUUAUUCUCAAAUGUUCAAGUCUUGGUUGGUCAAAAAUUAAUUUAGAUUGGUGGAAUUUGUUUUAGGAGGGAAAAUAAGUCAUGGAGCCUUUUUCAAUUUCCAAGACUUGACUUUUUCUUGUACUUCUCCUUAAAACAUGGACCCUUGUUUCAUGGGAAAGUGGUUGAGAGAUGAUGUAAAGUCUUUAGUGUGUAGGAAAAGUCUUUGAGUCACAAGUACUACACCUUGAAACUUGGAUCUAUGUCUUGCAAGACGAACACAAUACACACUCUUUUUCUUCAACUUCUAAGAUAUACAACCACUUUUUUUUCAACAAUAUAUGGAGAUGGUGAAGAACACCAAGAACACAAACUUUGAGUCUUGAAGUUCUAAGGUUCAAGUUGGACCUCCCAAACAACAACAACAACUUCCCAAGCUU
rnacentral:lncRNA from 1 species